rnacentral:lncRNA from 1 species
UAGACCCAUUUUGCUCACAAGACAUGACAGUCUCAAAAGCUACCACUUUAGCAUGUGGGUUCCUAGAAGGACAUCUGUCUUGGUCAGACAUAGCUGGAGUGUUGUGUUGAGUGGCGGACCUCACAUUUGUUGUUGAAGUUUUUCAUACCUUUACCUUCUGUCUUGGAAUCGAUACUGUGUACUGGUUCCAAGGCAAAGAGAGCUAAAGGCUGGGCAAUGGGGGUUGUGACUUGCCCAGGGUCACACAGCUAGGAAGUAAUUGAGGCCAGUUUUGAACCCAUGACUUCCCAUCUCUAGGACUGGCUCUCAAUCCACUGAGCCACUUAACUGUCCCCAAUGGACUCCACAUUUUAAGAACAUUGACACACUGGACUGGGUACCAAAGAAAAUUAAGAAGAUGAUGGGAGGACCAGAGUCAGAGCCAAGGAUAACUCAAAAUGGAGAAAAGCAAGAGAUAAAUUGAGUUCAUCUGUCACAAAGCUGGCGGUUGGCAGAAACAGACGAGAGGAAAAUAGUCGUGCACCUGAGGAGUCAACUCUAGCAGAGUGGAAGGAAAGGCACUCGUGGUGGGGAGACAUGGGAAGACAGGGAGAAAGGCUUAGGGCCAAUCAAGUGACCCCAAAUCCUAUCUCCAUAACCACUAGGUGCUUUAUUUAAGACUCAGAAGAUGCAGCUGGAAAGAACUCUAAGCCACAACCUAGAAAGAUGUUUCCCUUUGCAUAUGGGAGUCAAUCAACAACCACUGAUUAAGCAAUUACUAUGAGCUGAUAACUAUGCUGAGUUCUCAGAAUUUUUUUUAAAUGAUCCCUGCCCUCAAGGAAAUUACAUUCAUAAAUCAGCACAUACAAGGCAUUCAUCCUUCAUUUUUCAUAAAGGACCAACAAGAA